rnacentral:rRNA from 1 species
GAUGGAUAACAGGUUGAUAUUCCUGUACCCGUUGUUUUUGUUUGAGCAAUGGAGGGACGCAGGAGGCUAAGGAAUGCAGACGAUCGGAAAUGUCUGUCCAAGCAGUAAGUCUGAAGAGGAGUCAAAUGCUUCUUUUCUUAAGGACAAGCUGUGAUGGGGAGGGAAAUAAUAGUACCGAAGUUCCUGAUGUCACACUGCCGAGAAAAGCUUCUAGUGAGAAAACAGCGGCCCGUACCGCAAACCGACACAGGUAGUCGAGGAGAGAAUCCUAAGGUGAGCGAGAGAACUCUCGUUAAGGAACUCGGCAAAAUGACCCCGUAACUUCGGGAGAAGGGGUGCUGAUCAUACGAUCAGCCGCAGUGAAUAGGCCCAAGCGACUGUUUAUCAAAAACACAGGUCUCUGCAAAAUCGUAAGAUGAAGUAUAGGGGCUGACGCCUGCCCGGUGCUGGAAGGUUAAGAGGAGUGCUUAGCGCAAGCGAAGGUACGAAUUGAAGCCCC